UCCGAGCGCCACCGGCGCGGGAAUGGCGGGGGGACGCCGUUACCUUCGCUCUUGCCCAGGAUGCGGCAGCAGAGGUUCUGCAGCAGAACGUUGGGGGAUUUUUGGUCCGGAGUCGCCAUCGCCGCGCGGGAGGCAGGAGGAGGUGCGGGGCAGAGGGAGCGGGCGGCAGGGCCGGAGGCACGGCGGAACGGCGGAGGGAAGUAGGGAGAGAGACGAGGACGCGCCGCCCGCUCGGCAGCGCAGGGACCCGGCAACACCUCCCGUUCCUGCCGCCGCCUACGGCGCCAUUUUAACGGGACCCGCCGAACGCCGCAGCGGCGGCCACAGCGCCCACAAUGCCCCGCGCGCCCGGAGCGCUCCGCGCGGCGGUUCCGGGGCAGGCACCGCCCAGGAACGUCCCCCGAAUUCCCCGGAAUGGAAGUAGAACGUUCCCGUUCUGCAACAUCUUUCCGUUCUUGGAAAACGCCCUCUCACCUGUCCCUCAAAAAUUCUGAUGUCACAUUCCACCAAAGCAAAAAUUCACUUCAACGUAAAGCUUUAACAAGUGGAGAAGGUGGAGGCCUUCUGAGGCCGUCACGGGCAAAAGAGAAAACAAUCCUUGAUGAAGGGUUUACAGAGGACUUAAGGCAUGGGAUUGCACAGUGUAGACACGGAUGCAGAGUAAGCCCACAACUGCAUGGCAAGGAUUAUUGUACUGCCUUAUAGAGACACUAAGAGACAACUAAAUAUGUGAUCAAAUAAGCAAACAAAUCAGAAUCCAGUCCAGGAAACUGUGGAGAUAAAAUCGACAAGUGCAUGAGAGGCCAUGAUGCUGUGAAGCAUGCCAAAGGAACUAUGUCGAAUCAAAAAGGCACAAUGUCACACUAGGGAGAACAAGACGAGGUGUGCAGGACACCUGCUUUCACUGCUGUGCUGCACGAGAGCCUGAGGUUGAGACUAUGACCUUUGGGACACCCUGCAAGAUUCAGCUGCUUACCCAACCCUUUUCUGCAGGUGUGAGGAAGGGUCGUAUGAUUUAUUGCAUAUGUUUUGUUGAAGUUAGUAAUUUUCUGGAGUGUGUAGUUCACCCACUGGAUGAAAUGGAUCUAUGAAAAGUCAAAGAUUAUCAUCGUUUUCAGAUUCAAGUUCAGAUUUACAAGUUCUAUCUUGUAAUUUAUAGCUUCUAUUUUUUCACUAAAGAUAGAAACCACAACUGCAUUUUAUAACCUUUGGGCUAUUAUACAAAAAUUUCUUUCUGUCUUAUAUCUUUUUGUACAUACUUCUUAGAAACAUGAAUACACUUGUGGAAAAAUCUCGAUAAUAUAUUGGAAUAUAAUUGGUAGGAUCAUACUUAAUAUAUUCAUAUUUUUACUAAUAAUAGAAGUGAUUUUGAAUAAAAAGUAGAGAAUUCAGUUGGCUGCUGUUACUUACACUAAUAUCUAUUAAAAAUGCUCAUAAUUCUAGAAAAAUCAUAAAGCUUAAGACAAGGAAAUUAAUACAAAUAUCUAAUAUAAAAAUGCAUUAUUUAUGAUACACUAUAUUUUUCCUAUUUUGGAAGUAUAUCAUCCAUUCAGGAGGCAAAGUACAUAGCUUAGAUGAUUAGUAACAUAUGCAAGCGAAUUCAUAUCAAGAUAUAGAGUAAAAGAAUAUUCAUAUACUAAACAUGAAUACUAAAGAAAGUCUUUUGAUAUUACAGCAAGAUGAUCAGGAGCUUCCAGAGAUCAUUACAGGAAUGCACUAAGAAACAGCUUCAUUAACUCUACAAUAUAAAAAAUUAACAUUCAUUUUGGAUAGAUAUUUUUCACCAUUAUUCAACUCAACCAGAUCAUACAUUUUUGAAGACACAAGCAUAUUUAACUCGAACAUUUCACAUAGAAUUAAAUGUGCAUGUCACUUAAAGAGUCCUUAAAACAUCUAAUGUCAGUAUAACGAGAUCCAUUUUAGGCACAGCUGUCAGCUAAACAAAGCAAUCAAAAUUAUUGACAAUUUACUUUGUAGGUCAUGCAAGUUCAUUUUCCGUUGACUUUGUUGCCAUCUGUGCAUGGUUGCUGCUUUUUUUUUCCAGAAUAGGUUUGUUCUGUUCCAAUGUCUUCCGUGCUGUAAGAUGCCAUCGUAGAGCUUCGGUGUUCAUUCCAGUAAACAGAUUCCUCUGGCUCAAUAACACUUUUCUCUUAGUUUGUUUGAUGAGGCCGAGGUCAGGAAACAAAAGGAUUUUGUUCUCCCGAUACUGGAUAUUGCAUUGCUAGAGUUGCUUUCAGCAGUCUAUCCAGUUCUCCUAUUUCAAACUUAGAUGAAAUAAAAACACUCCCACUGUCAUUCGCAGUCAUGUUGUCCUCUCUGGUAUUCUACAGCAUUUUUCCACACAAAAUACGUUCUUCCCUGGUAUUAAUUUCCAAAAGUUCAGUAGGAGUUUUAAUAAUAAAUGAAAUAGGAUCUGUCUGGCCUGUACCAGAGUGGAAACAAAGGUUGUGCAGAACUUCAGAACUCGUUUGGUUUUUGGUUGCUUCCUCCCUUUUGUCUAGUGACACAUAUUUCACAAAGGAAUACAGACACCUCAGACACCUUCUCCACCUUCAGCCCAUGAAAUUUUAAAGGCACUUUUAGGCUCUUUACCUCCUCUUAUCAUGGAAAGAGAAGCUCUCAGGAAAGAAGUAGAACAGACAGAACAGAAACUAUUUCUCUAUCUUUCCAUAAUGUGCCCACAUUCAGUGGUAUCUGAACUCAGAGCUCCAGAGUGGGCACAUGCUUCCGAUACAGCCCAGACCAUACCACAGCCCCAGUCUGUACUCAUUCUGUAGCUCUCUGUGAUGUCUGGUUUGCCAAGCACUUUUUUUAAAAUUAUGUAUUCGGAAGCAGUUAUUUUUAUACCAGGAAUCUUUACCAAAAAACUGCCUAAUAGGAUAGAAAAACCCCAGACUUUCACCAGUGAUGCACAAAAUUAAAUCUAUAAUAAUUUUAAACAAAAUUUUAAUGAUAUUUCCUAUACUUAAAAGACAUAGCUUAAUGCUAACUGAAAACAAAACAAAACCAGUCAAAGGCAACACCAUCAACCACAGCAUUUGUACUUUCCUUUAAUUUUUCAAACAUUUGACAAUAAAGAGCCAUCACGAUGUAAUACUUAGUUUCUCUUGACAAAUACCAUCUUUUUUUCCCAUUACAGUUUGACAAUGGAUUACUGUGCUCUCUGCUGCAAGUAAUCAUUUACUAUAUUCUUCUAUCAGGUGAUUGCAAGCAAACCCUUCCUUAAAAUUCAUGCCAGGAAUUCUGGCCAGAAAAGCGUCUGUAGCAAUGCUGCCAGGUUUAGCUCUGUGCUAGGAGAACUGUGCAAGGCAGAGAAUGCAUUGCAUGCAUUGAGGAACAGCUACAUGCACCUCAGUGGAGUUCACAGACGCGUGUAGGUGGUCUGUAUCUAGACAGCACAGGCAUUAUCACAGGGACCUUCAGUAGCCACACUCCCCCUUCCCACAGGCUAAGCACCGGUCACAUCCCAAACUGCUGACACAGUUGAGGCCUCCUGACAGCAAACUUCCUUUACAUUCAGUGAGCCUGCUGUACAUCCGGACAAUCUGCCGUGUGUAUGUUUCUGCUGCAACAUCUGUUGUUCAUGAUGCAAUCAGGACAAAACAAAUUUAAAUUAAUAUUUAAAAUAAUCCAUUACCUUUAUUUUCAAAAAUUUUAGCAAAACAUGUAUUUUUGUUUAAGCUUUUAAUGACAAAAGAGAUUCAUAAUCUUAUGUUCCCCUGCAGGCAAAGACUUACUGGCUAAAAAGCAUCCCUGGCUUCCAAUUGGAGAAGUAGGCAGGAAAGAGAGGAACAUUUUAAUUCCCUUUUGUAAAAUACUGUGUCCUUGUGUUAGUCUUGAGAUCUGCAAAGUAGUUGAAUAUGUCCUUUAAGACCAUCACCUUCUCUAUCACAAGAUUCAUUGUCUCUCUCCUUAAUCUCUACAGUUGAGGUAGUGUUAAACUUUUAUGUUCAUCAGUAUAUAAAAAUGUCGGUUGAUUAAUAAUAAUUUAAUUUCUCAGAAACCAAAAAGCACAACAGAAGCCUUUUUUCUUUCCAAAACCUUUCUUUUGACAUGCAUUCUAACCCAUAGCAUAAAAGUCUCAGCAUCCAACAUCACUAGAAAUGUACUUCUUUUCACAUGAAUUUUCAGACUGUUGUGCUGAAUAACGUAGGUGAAAUGUUAUUUUAAGAUCUGAAAAUUUAAUGUUCUGAACAGUAGUUGUGUGCAUGCAUGAGAAAAAGCAAAAAAGUUGACCUAUAAAAAUACCAUUACAGAUAAAAGCUCAGGAAGACAUUCUUUUGUCAGAUUCUCCCUGUAAAAAUCAGAAUACAGUUUUCUGAAUAUGUAUUAUUUUAUUAUUUUAAUUAUUUGUAUAUACUUGAUUUGUUUCACUAAUAGGAAAAGUAGGCAAGAAUAUGGACAAAGAAUUAAAAGACCUUUAAUUAGAGGUCAUGGACCAGUUUUGAUGACUCAAACGCAAGAUGAGGAAGUUUAUUUACUUUUAGGGAGAGUUUCUCAUUCACAUAUUUGACAGCCAUCUUUAUAAAAUCCUUGGCCAUUUUCCUAGGAAUGUACAACUGCUGCCACAAAGACUCUAGGUACAUAUCACACAAGUUGAUUUUAACUUUUUAUGGCACUGAGACUCUACCUCAUGUUGUUUCACCAUCUUCAUUCGAUCCUAAAUCAACUCCAUGUACUUCAGCAUAGGUUUUAUCCCUUAUGCAAAUGAAGGAUAGGGGUCAUUUUGUUUGAUUAGAGUUCUGCUGUAACCUACUCCUCCUGUAAGGAGUACCACUGAAGAUAUAUAAGUGUCAUGGAGUCUCCACUUCCAUUCCUGUCCUUACAGAUGUUUGUGGCCCUUGGUGCUCCCUGACAGUACUGAUUAGGCUUUGGUAGAACAGCACCACAGUUACUCCAAGGACAGUGAGAAUGCUUGCAAAACUGAUUCUGAAUUAUAUGCUUGCAUUUGCUGGGAAUUCUUUAGAAAACAAACUUGGAGCAGACAGAAAGACAUCCCCAUCACCCCAGCUUUAUGAAAACAACAACACACAAUAUCAACCACAUAGAUAUUGUAUUUCUGGGAUUCCUAAAAAGUGCUUGGCUGGUAAACUACAGUCAUGCUUUUGUCUUGUCAGAGCUAAGACAAAACUAGGAGAAGUAUCAUUAGGCUCUAAUUGAAAAUUAAAAGUGUUUUGAGUAAAUUGAAGCAUUGCUUUGGAUAGGCUUUAACUGUCAUGAUGUGGCUAUGGUAGAAAUGUUGUAAAGGUUUUUUUUCAUCAUUGUGAUGAAGGCUGACAGUACUAAUGGGGUAGGCUGUGAGAAGAAAGGACUUAAAAGUCCUUUAGCCCAUUCCAGUAAAUCUGCCUCUGACAGAUGAUGAACAAUCUCUGACUUAAAGAAUUAAUAAAGCAUGCUGUAAAAAUGCUUGUGUAUUUAUGACAUGCCUAUUUGCAUCUGCAAACUGAGUAAAGUCAAAUAAGUACUCAAACUGCCAAGAGAAGAACAUUUGCUUAAGUCUCAUUUUGAAAUAUAUCUGAAAACAGUCAGUACCAGUUAGGAUUUCUUAACUGCCAGGGGUGACAGGUACCUAUUAUUGAUGGAGAAGAUGAACUGUGGCAGAACCAUCUCUUAAUAUGGAAACACUGAUCCAAAUUCCAUUCAUUUAGAAUGAGAAUUGCUCAUACAAAAUGAAAAUGUCCUGUUCCAGCUGCUUCAGGUCUGAAACUAAUAAGAAAGAUUCUGCAUUAAAUUAAUUUUGAACAUCUUCCUAUGACUAUUAUGACAGUAUUUUGGAAGAACAUAUAUCUAUUUGAUAUAUUUUGGAAGACAACAUACUAAAUCCUCUUCUGAAAUAAGUAUUCCUUUCUGUCUUGGCCCCACGCACACGUGCACACACACACAGACACACAACUCUGAGGCAGUUACAUUACUCAGAAAUACUUACCUCAGUCUAAAAAUACACAGGACAAAAUCUAUCAGUGAGAAUAACUGUAUUUUAUUAUUAGAAUCUAGAGAAAAAUGUAAUGCAUAUUACAUAGUUUUUCUGCAUGAUAAUCUGGCAGAAAUUUUAGUUUUCUGUCCUAAAAUGAAAACUAACAAUUCUUAAAUUUGGAAUAUUUUAAUAUUGUAAUGCAUCAAGGUUAACUUAGCUUAACAUUGGUACAAUUACACUUUCUGAAUGACCUUAUUUAAGAUCACUGUAAAUGUGGUGAAACAAGUUGUCAGCUCAGCACAGAUGUCUCGUAAGACAAGGUGAAAAUUCCCCACAGGACCAUGUUGUUCUUUUCCACUAAAGGAAAAUUUCUGUCACGGGAGUAAGUCCCUGCAGGAGUUUCCCCAGGUAAAAUACUUUAUACCCUUUUCUGAUGGAAUAGCAGUACUGCAGGUUCUAGCUCAGUUUCCACAGGAGUUUGUGGAGCCCCACAGAGAUCCUGCACUUUUAUAAGAGCUGUAUGCCUUCUUGUUGCUCUUCUACUCCUUCCUACCUAGAAACACAUUUAAAAGUACCAGCUAUCCACUAUAGGUAUCUGCAUAAAUGCAUGCCUUUAAAAAAUUCCCAGUGUGGAAAAGAUAUCAGAGGAAAAAAAUACAGCAUAUGGUAAUUUUACACAUCGUUCUCCACUGUGUAGUGGGAAAAAGGUAAAACACAUUCUAUUUCUCCUCUAAAAUUAUAUUAUAAUGAUAAAAUGUUUUGCAAAAUAAAGAUCAAUUCAAGGAGUUAAUUUAGACUUUGAAAAACUGCAUUUAGUCACUUAUGCAAUUCUUGUCCAGUUAGUCCUUCAUAAUGUCUUGAGAUUCAGUUAUUUAUAUUGGAUCUAAUUGUCAACAGAUGAGUAGCAAAGCAGCCAUAUUUCAAAGAAGAAAAUCUACAAAUUCAAUAUACAGGAUUAUUUUAUAGUCCUACCGUUCCAUGUCAGCAAAUUGAAAGCAUGUCACUGAAUUUAUUGAACUGAAAUGAGGAUGGCCAUAACUAUGGCAAUUGUUGUGCUUAAAAGUUCUAACAAAGAGGGGGUACCCCUUCUGGCCCUGUUGCCUUAGAAAAUCUACAUUUCUUCCAAAGGGCUUCUGAUCCUGCAAAGUGCUAUCUGAGUGCUCAAAUUAUGUUAAUUGGAUUUAUUCAUGUACUAAACAGAGAAAUGUGUAAGAAGGGAAAAAAGAACCAUAUUAUGUGAAUAAAAAAUUAAUAUCAAGAUUAGUGGUGGCUUUCAUUAGUAGCAUGUGUUAAAUUAUUUUAAGCAGAGCUAUGUCUUGAACACUUAAUUUAAUUCCUCCUCUACAUUACAUUUAUGGUUUCCUAAUUACCUUCAUACAAAGGCAUUGCAAAGGUCAGUUGAGAUGCU